CAAAACAUGACCAGAAGGGAACUGGUUUGAACUGAACUGAAUAAAACACCAUGCAGCUGCUUUUCUCUGUUACCUGUCCACACUCUCAUUUCCUCUGCUAUUAGGAAGAAGGCUGGCUACGCCCAAGAGGGAGGCCUGUGACAGUAGAAUGAAGUGAAGAUGGUCACACCAGAUACAACUAUAGGGAGUACAUUUGAGAGAAAAAUCAUGUGGACCAAUUCCCAGCUUUGGUUUGUAACUAAACACCACCAUUCCCACCUUCAAGAUAAACUGACGAUGGUGUGUGUCACAGUAAAUAGGAUAAACACAAAAGUAAACAGGAAACAAGUCAUAUGACUCAUGAAAAGCUCUCCAAAAUUUGUUUCCACAGAUAUUUGUUUAACUGAGCAGAGCAAAUGAAGAGCUCUUUCAUUCAGUAACCAAUCCAGAAAACUACAAUUUUAUCAUUUCCGUUUCUGAAGUGGAGAUUACCAUCAGCAUCUUGAAUGAGAAAAUCAGACUAAGUGUUCAUAUCCCUUCCUCAUGGAUCUCAGCCAGAGAAGUUUCCAGCUCACUCACCUUUGGGUUCGUGUGAUUCAUCAUCACUGUCCGAGCUAUCAUUACUCACAAUAUGCUUUGUUGUAAUAUUUUCUGUGAAAAAGAGACAAAACAAUUGAAGCAUCUUAGGUGUCAAAAUUCACAAAUUUAUUAUAAAGAAGUAAUCUGAGCAAAACCACAGAAUGAGAUCUACUAGC